UACGUAGGCAGCAAGCGUUGUUCGGAGUUACUGGGCGUAAAGGGUGCGUAGGCGGCUCUAUAAGUAUGGUGUGAAAUCUCCCGGCUUAACUGGGAGGGUGCGCCGUAGACUGUGGGGCUAGAGUGUGGGAGAGGAAAGUGGAAUUCCUGGUGUAGCGGUGAAAUGCGUAGAUAUCAGGAGGAACACCGGUGGUGUAAACGGCUUUCUGGACCAUAACUGGCGCUGAGGCACGAAAGCGUGGGUAGCAAACAGG
rnacentral:rRNA from 1 species